rnacentral:rRNA from 1 species
CUACGGGAGGCAGCAGUGGGGAAUAUUGCACAAUGGGGGAAACCCUGAUGCAGCAACGCCGCGUGAAGGAUGAAGGUUUUCGGAUUGUAAACUUCUUUAGUCAGGGACGAAUAAAUGACGGUACCUGAAGAAUAAGCCACGGCUAACUACGUGCCAGCAGCCGCGGUAAUACGUAGGUGGCGAGCGUUGUCCGGAAUUACUGGGUGUAAAGGGCGUGUAGGCGGGAAUGUAAGUCAGAUGUGAAAUCCCAGGGCUCAACCCUGGAGCUGCAUCUGAAACUAUGUUUCUUGAGUGUCGGAGAGGAAAGCGGAAUUCCUAGUGUAGCGGUGAAAUGCGUAGAUAUUAGGAGGAACACCAGUGGCGAAGGCGGCUUUCUGGACGAUAACUGACGCUGAGGCGCGAAAGCGUGGGGAGCAAACAGGAUUAGAUACCCCGGUAGG